AACGAACGCUGGCGGCAUGCCUAACACAUGCAAGUCGAACGAGACCUUCGGGUCUAGUGGCGCACGGGUGCGUAACGCGUGGGAACCUGCCCUUAGGUUCGGAAUAACUCCCCGAAAGGGGUGCUAAUACCGGAUAAUGUCUUCGGACCAAAGAUUUAUCGCCUUUGGAUGGGCCCGCGUUGGAUUAGCUAGUUGGUAGGGUAAAAGCCUACCAAGGCGACGAUCCAUAGCUGGUCUGAGAGGAUGAUCAGCCACACUGGGACUGAGACACGGCCCAGACUACUCCGGCGGGAGGCAGUGGGGAAUAUUGGACAAUGGGCGAAAGCCUGAUCCAGCAAUGCCGCGUGAGUGAUGAAGGCCUUAGGGUUGUAAAGCUCUUUUACCCGGGAUGAUAAUGACAGUACCGGGAGAAUAAGCUCCGGCUAACUCCGUG
rnacentral:rRNA from 1 species